rnacentral:rRNA from 1 species
CAAUAGCGUAUAUUAAAGUUGUUGCGGUUAAAAAGCUCGUAGUUGGAUUUCUGCUGAGAACGACCGGUCCGCCCUUUGGGUGUGUAUCUGGCUCUUUCUUGGCAUCUUCUUGGUGAACGUUGCUGCACUUGACUGUGUGGAGCGCUACCCAGGACUUUUACUUUGAGGAAAUUAGAGUGUUUCAAGCAGGCAUACGCCUUGAAUACAUUAGCAUGGAAUAAUAAGAUAGGACCUCGGUUCUAUUUUGUUGGUUUCUAGAGCUGAGGUAAUGAUUAAUAGGGAUAGUUGGGGGCAGUCGUAUUUAACUGUCAGAGGUGAAAUUCUUGGAUUUGUUAAAGACGGACUACUGCGAAANCANNNGCCAAGGAUGUUUUCAUNGA